CUUACCAACCUUAGAGCAUCAUUAUCGCCCGUCUUUAGAGGGUAUCUUAUGUUUAAUUUGAUUUAAAAAAAAAUCAAAAAGAGAAAUAAACCGUAGAGGCGUCUCUUAAUUUGGUACAUGAAGAGCCGUCUCUUCUCUUCCUCUCUUCGCCUUCCUCUCUUCCUUUCUCUCUCUCUCUUCCUCUCUGUCUCUCUCCACUCCCUCUCCCAUGGCGGCUUCUUCUACCUUCUCCUCAUCAGCUCUUCUCUCAAACAACCGCACUCCACCGCUAUGCUGCUCUGUCAGACCCUCGAUCUCUUCAUCCCCGAUGCCCAGGAGAAGAUCCGUAUUUUUGCUGAAUCCUUUUGUGGAUGCGAUGAUUGCUUCGAAAACGCCGGCUUGGGUCCAUGCGGGUUUGCGGAGAUAUGAUAUUUUGAGAGCCCAAGACUUGAACUUUCUGUUCGGAAGCCUCCACCCUUUGAAGGAAACGCUCAAAGACAGAGACUUUAAGUAUGGUGGUGAACGGUUUUGACGAGGAAACAUAGCUUCAGGUCUGUCAAUGGAGGUGGUGAGACAGAGUUUUGAAAGAUGGGUUUUUUGUAUCGUGAGCUAAAGAAGAAGAUGGAAGAGAAAGUUUUUUUCUUUCUGUCUCUGUACUUUUCUUCUUUGAUUUAACGUUGAAGAAUAAAAUAACGUUGGAGAGAUGAUGGUGCUAGGAGCUGGAGUGCAACAGCUCCUUUUGGGAUAAUUAGAAAGAAACUAGAUGCAGUCGAGCGGGAUGGAGAGGCUGAUAAAAGCGCAGCAGACUCAUCACAUCAAGAACUCGGAGAAGAAGGUUCUCAUCAAGAAAGUUAGGUAUGGGCAGUUUAUAGCUUUUAAAAGUUACUGCUUUGAUUGAUUUAGUGAGUGAGAUAUGAAUAAAAAGGUUGAGAUUUUAAUAAAGAUGGAACAAGAACGUAGAGUUUAGGUUAUGUUCUUUGACCGUUGGUGUAGAGUAAGUUUAAUGGUUGCUCUGUUUGGUUGGUGAGAUGUUUGGAAUCAUGUACUCACAGUUGAUCUGCUAAUGAAAUGUUUUUGGGUAUGAGAAAAAGAAUGAGACUUUAGUAAAGAUGUUACCAAGAACAUACACUCUAGGAUAUGUUGUUGGACCAUUGCUGCAGACUAAGCUUAAUGGUUGGUUGCUCUGUUUGGUUGGUGAUAUAUCUAGAAUUAUGUACUCACGUUUAAUCUGCUUAUGAAAUUUUUUGGAUGCUGCAAGAACAACAUACACUCUAGGAUCUGUUCUCGGAUCAUUGUUGUAGAGCAAGCUUUGUGUUUAUAAUAGGAGUCUACUUGAUGUAAUGUUUCUCUCGUGUUCUUCUUUGCAGAGGUUUAUAAGAGAUGAGCUGCUGCUAUAACCAUUCAUUCCAUUACAUUCUCUAUAUAUGUGUUUAUUCAGGUCGGUCAUUUUAUAGACAAAGUCAUUCACUCAUCAAACAAGUUCCUUCAUCUCUCCUUCUCACAAUCAUCGCACA
rnacentral:lncRNA from 1 species